UUUGUGGAGGGUUCGAUUCUGGCUCAGGAUGAACGCUGGCGGCGUGCUUAACACAUGCAAGUCGAACGGGAUCCAUCAGGCUUUGCUUGGUGGUGAGAGUGGCGAACGGGUGAGUAAUGCGUGACCGACCUGCCCCAUGCACCGGAAUAGCUCCUGGAAACGGGUGGUAAUGCCGGAUGCUCCAUCACAUCGCAUGGUGUGUUGGGAAAGCCUUUGCGGCAUGGGAUGGGGUCGCGUCCUAUCAGCUUGAUGGCGGGGUAACGGCCCACCAUGGCUUCGACGGGUAGCCGGCCUGAGAGGGCGACCGGCCACAUUGG
rnacentral:rRNA from 1 species